GGCAUGCUUAUGUGUCUGAAGAUCUCUGUACUUCUUGGUCAGACCAUGGCCUAUAAAAAAAUAAAACAAUCAAAACUGGUUUAAAGCUUCAGGUUCAUGCCACCAGAAUUGUUUCUCCGUUAGAUUUGUAAACUCAUCUAUAACAUAAAUUCUAAACGGACUUGUGUAGUCUUGAAAUAUUCGAGUUCUUCAAUGAAAAACAGAAGCUUUUAGUUCUAUUCAAGUCAAUCAAGUUGAGUUCCACUAAAGAAAUGUGGUUUAGCUAAAUUCGUGAGUUUCACAAUACUUUAUCAUUUAAGUGGACAUUUCAAAUAUCCUCGGCAAUCCCCAACUCUUCCUUCAUUAUCUAGAACAAGCAAAAGAAAAUUAAAGAAAUAUAAACAAAUGCAUUUUCAAAAAUAUAAAAAUAUUAAAAUGUAGGUGAAUAUGUUAGACAAUAAAGCGGUAUAAAAAAUUCUAAUAGAACGAUUUCAAACCUCUUAUGCGAAACCCACAACAAAUCUAUCCAUACACAGAUACAUUAAAAGAUCUACAAGUCGUCUAACCCAUGUUUUCCCCAAAUUAAGAAGAAAGGCACAGUAUUCCGUGAAAAAUUCAUUUACUCUACAUUCAGAAGCAAAUUUAAAUAAUAGAAUUUCUUCAAUUAAAUGCAAGUACCAAAUAAAAGUAGUAAAUGCCUAGAUAAAUCGAGUACUGACUUGAACAAAUUCUCUAUUGGUUUCAACAAAAUCGAUAAAACUCGAAUACCGAACCUUUCUUGUUGUCUGGAGAAGCUGAGUGAAGUAAAUCAGAUCUUCUUCUGAAGAUCGUCGCCGACUACGUGCCAUCGACAAUCCCAUCUUUUGAAAAAUCGAGUGCAGAAAAAGUUUUCUUCGUGGGUUUCAAGCCCUAGACCUAGAGUGAGGGGGAAGCUAUGGAAAAUUUUAGGGGGAAU
rnacentral:lncRNA from 1 species